CCCGCCCCGUCGCCAUGUUGUUCCCUCGGUGCUGGAUGGGAGCAGCUGUAGUCGGACCCGGGCAGUGCCGCGGACGUCUGCUGCCCGUCGGGUCCUCGACCCUCUCUCUUUCCUCACUGCACCAGGACGGGCCGGCCCGGAGCUCCCGGGCUUCCUCCGUGUGGCCGCGAGCCACUUCUUCCAUCUAGACUGUGGUACCCUGGAGGCCUGCACAUAAGUUCCUUUGGUUCUAGAGACGAACUCUUAGCCUACCCUCAUUUCUUACCAUUUCUUGGGCCGCCACUCCAGCACUGGGUGUUCUGUGCAUGUAAAUCCUGGGACACAGGUUCGAUCUCUGGCCUGGGAAGAUCCCACAUGCCGCGGAGCAAAGAAGCCUGUGCGCGACAACUACAGAGCCCACACACCACAACUACUGAAGCCCACGCGCCUAGAGCCCGUGUUCUGCAACCAGAGAAGCCACUGCAGUGAGAAGCCCGUGCACUGCAAUGAAGAGUAGCCCCCGCUCGCCGCAACUAGAGAAAGCCUGCGCGCAGCAACGAAGACCCAACACAGCCAAAAAUAAAAAUUAAAAAUUAAUUUAUUAAAAAAAAAAAAAGAACAAAUAAGCGAUGAAAUUUUUUUAAUCGAAUUUUACAUUUUUUCUCUGGCAUUCUCCAGCCUGUUUUCACCAUGCCUAAAACUAGCCCCUUCAGUCCAUGUAGUGCUUCAUUCUGGUGGCAGAUACAACUCUUAAGUGAACUUUGGGAGGGAGUGAGAGGAGUCCAAAAGGGUUGGCUCUGGGAGUUCCCUGGUGGCCUAGUGGUUAGGAUUCUGGGCUUUCACUGCUGUGGCCCGGGUUCAGCCCCUGGUUGGGGAACUGAGAUCCCACAAGCCGUGCAGCACGGCCAAAAAAAAAGGGUUGGCUCUGUUUAGGAAUUGCUGUGAGAGUGUUAUUCUGUUAUUCAUGCAGUCAACACGGCAUGUUUUGUGAGGAGCUUUGCUUUUUGACUCGUGCUGAUGGACAGUGUGUUGUUCACUGCUAAUGGAUAGAUUUCUCUGCCUCUUAUCAGUUUUUGUCUGCUAUGGGGUAGAGGGGAUGCUAAAUUACACACCUAAAAAUGAUUGCUAUCGCGUGGCGUCUAGCAAAGGGAUGUGUGGUCUGUUACUACUGGAGGGGUUUUAUUCUGGGAAGGAUCCAGAGGAAUUGGUGCAGGAAGAACAUCCACUGGCCUCGGAGGAGUCUUGCUGCAUCUGCAGUUGGCUUGCUACUCUGGCCAGGUUAGGUCACCACAUUUCUUUCUUCAUAAAAUGAGAUGGUUGUACUUUAUAAUGUAUGUCUAUGAGAAUACAUGACACCAAGUAAAGACGUCAAAUAAUUGGCUUCCAAGUACAGGCAUACCUCGGAGAUAUUUUGGAUUUGGUUCCAGACCAUCUCAAUAAAGCGAGUCACACAAAUUUUUUGGUUUCCCAGUGCUUACAAAAGUUACAUUUAUAUUGUACCCGUCUAUUAAAUAUGCAGUAGUAUUAUGCCUAAAAAAAACAAUGCUCGUACCUUAAUUAAAAAAUACUUUAUUGCUAACAGAUGUUAACCAUCAUCUGAGUCUUCAGUGAGUUGUAAUCUUUUUGCAGUACUGACAUCAGUGAUCACAGAUCACCAUAGGAAACAUAAUAAUAAUGAAAAAGUUUAGAAUAUUUCAAGAAUUAUGAAAAUGUGACAGAGACAAGAAGUGAUCAAAUGCUGUUGGAAAAUGGCGGUGAUACACUUGCUCCAGGCAGGGUUUCCCACAAGCCUUCAGUUUAUAAAAGCCCACAAUAUCUGUGAAGUGCAAUAAAGCGAGGUGUGCCUGUAGUUCUGCCUCAGGCAAUUUGCUGGUCAAGCAGCAGGAGGAAAUAAGCCAAAUGGAAGAGAGAGAGAGAGAGAGAGAGAGAGAGAGAGAGAGAGGAGUAAUAAAUUUGUUAGUCAAAACCAAGGAUAAGAAAAUAGGGCCUGUGACUAAGUAGGUCAUCAGCAGAACAUUUAUUAAGGAUUUUUUUUUUGAGGGGGUGAACUCACAAAACGCCUCAGCGAGUUUGGAAAGCUGUGAUGCAGAUGAAAGGUCAGGGUACCUGAGGGAAGGAGGCCGGGGACCCAGGUGUGUAGGUGGAGGGGGGCCGGCUAGCCUGGGUUGGGGAGGUGAGGCCAGAGCUUGCCAGAAAUCCUGGGCGUGCCCGCUCAGGAGAAAACUGGGAGGAGAAAUCUCCAUUUCCCAGCGUGAAUCUUGGUGUUGUACGUGUAGUGAAGUUGAGCUCUGGGUGUUUCCACGUUCUGGGUUCUUCCAUUACUUUCUGUUAGGUUUUGACCGUGGCCAGUACAGGGUUUAGGAUGCUGUUGCUUGUCAUGAACACAGAGAAGAUGAGAUCUAAGUGAAGGUAGGCGAGGUCAUAGCUGGAUCAGCAUGGGCUCGGGAGAGCGGGCUAUGUGUUCUGGAAGAAAUAUAGAAAGAAGCGAAGCAGGCCAUGGAAGCUUCACGCCGGCUUCACUGAACCGGCUCAUUUCAUCUCGGGGAGUCUGAACACAGGCUCCGCUUGUGUCCGAGGCCUGGUGCCUUACAAAUGUCUGCUGUUGUUUGAAGGGGAUGGAGAAACAGUAUGGAACAACUUUCUACAUUCAUCCCGUGGCCACAUUCAUUAUCCACGUGUGAAGGACAGCAGAGCAGUGUAGCCAGUGAACUGAGCUGCUGGGUCAGUGUGAACUGUUUUCAUUCCAGGUUCUUGUGAACUGGAUUAGGUUUUGGGGUACAGAGGCCAAGGUCGUUUCCAGAAGGUUUGUUCUCAUGAGAGUGGUUGUGUUAUCAAUGUUAGCGAAGCGUGAAAGACACCUUACAGAUUCCUGUUUCUGGAACGUGCUCUGUAGAACUUUAACAGAUAGGGAGUGUUCAAAUGAUUUAACCGGUUCGCAAGUGUUAGAACUCCCUGGGGUGCAGUGUGUGUCUAGGCGACCUCUCCGGUCUGCGCAGUUUCACACUUGCAUGUGUAAUCAGAGCAGUGAUUAGGUGAACACACCUGAACAUACAUAUGUGGUUUAGUUGGAAGUCAGAACAGAAGAGCUGCUUGAAGGCCACAUACUGGUGAGUGCAGAGCAUUUUCUAGAAUGAGUUCCAGUACUCUUAAAUAAAAUUUCAGCAAUGCUCUUUGGGAGCAAACAGCUCCUACCCUCGUAUCCUGUUCCACAUUAAUAUUUGCACAGUACCUGAAUUUUAUCACACUAGCCCUGGGAAACCCCGCCUCGCGAAGAUAUGGUGUCAUCGAAAGGAAUGUGGUGUGAGCUAACGUGGGGACUGAACUCCCUUGAGCGCCAGUUGUGUGGCAUCCUGUGGACGGCCAGGACCUCUGUGGUGCCCUCCAAAAUGUCACAUACCCUGCCCUGCCCGGUUUCCUGUGUGCACUGUCGCUUGCUCUCCCCUCCCUCGUUGUCCAGAGUGUUCCAUCCCCAACUUCUGCUGCACACAGUUUAUUAGGAAGUGGGUCUGCUGGUGGGGAAAGGGGCCCCUGGGUGCAGAGGAGGUGUCAUGGGGUCUGCCCUUGUGCCUUCCGCCCGGCCAGCCUGUCUCAGUCAGUGUUGAGAAGUGCCUCGUGCCCUCUGGGGUCUGUGUGCUCUCUGGGGCUGGUUUCUCAUCGUCAGCUGCUUCUCGCCAAGUUAGGAUUCCUGUCUCUUCAGUUUGUCACUGCUGGACUAUUUGCUUUCCAUCUUCUCGGUUUUGUUGUUGUCUCUCAUCUACAGUUGUUCUCUCUUAUUGUCCUUUUCGGGUUUGUACAUUUUUUAGACCUUUCCUGUCUUUUGAUGGGCGUGAAGGUCACACAUGUUUGACCUGCCCUGUUUAAUUAGACCAGGGAGAAUUUAUUUAAUCUUUAUGAACUUGGUUUAUUGAUCUAUAAAACAUGUUGUUCUCUCUUAUUGUCCUUUUCGGGUUUGUACAUUUUUUAGACCUUUCCUGUCUUUUGAUGGGAGUGAAGGUCACACAUGUUUGACCUGCCCUGUUUAAUUAGACCAGGGAGAAUUUAUUUAAUCUUUAUGAACUUGGUUUAUUGAUCUAUAAAACAUGGGUGGUAGUGUCCAACUUGCGGGUGACUUCAAGGUGCUCUCUGCCAGGUACCUAGUAGACAUUCAGUGAACAGUGGUGGCUGAUGUUACUGUGGUCAUAGCAUUUGUUAUUUGGGCAAACAAGAGAAUGGCAGUAGGUAGGGAGGAAAGUGGACAUGUUUCUCGUGUGGGUGAAUGAAGUGGGUAAGACAAGAAGAAAGAGAUUUUGAAAAUGGGGAAAAGAGUUAGCUUGGUGUUAGAUAUGUUGAAUUUGAACUGCCAUCAGGGUACCAGAUGAAUAUAUUAUGAAGGGGGUUGGAAUUCUUAUCUGGUGCCUGAGGGGUGGGAGGGUAGAGGUGGGCUUUAGUUUAGGAAUCACUGGGUUUUAUAUCCCAGGAAGACAUGGUUUGGGAAGAGGUAAGGUCAUCAGCCUUGCGAUACAUCUCCUUAAGAGCCCGUUAGAAAAGGGAGCCAUCUAGGUUGCAGAAAGCCAAUGGGGUGAGGGGAAGAGAGAGCAGAAAGUAUUAUCAGAGUAGUUUUAUGAACAAUGCAGUGGGAAGCAUUUUCAAGGUCAUUGCCAGGCUGUUUAGCCCUAAUAGAGGCAGUAACGGUGGCUGAGUCCUGGCUGAGACUUGAAGGUCCCGCUGAGGCCUCCAGCUGUGGGUGUGAUACCUCCAAGACUCUUUCCUAGUUGGGCCUCCAUUACCUUAUUUGUUUAAAAAAAAAUGCCUUGUGUACCCUUCUGAGAUUCUAUAUCAUGUACAUUCAGAUAAAUCUCUACAUCUCAGAAUUCACGGCCUACCAGGUGGGCCUCUGGUGAGGACGUUGGUCAACCAUGAGGGUGUGUCUGUAGAAGUGUACACAGGGAAGUCCUAAGAGAGGCACUUUCUUCUUCAUUUAGGGCUGCAUGUGCCUUAGGGCAUUUAGAUGAGGACGGAGGAGAAGCCAGUGGACGGGCCAUUAGCAGGUCUCUGGUGACUUUUGCUGACAUUCGGGGGAUAGAGGGGUUGAGAACCUGCGUUUAGUGAGAGGGUAGAGGGCCGAUCAGGCGCAGAGCGGAAACAGGUAGUGCUGGCAGAGUACGUGGGGGAUGGGAAAGCUUUUUGUAAGCAAGGUCACCUUCAGUACCUUGGUGGGGACAGACUGGAGCAUCGCUGAUGGAGAAGUGGGAUGAAGUGAACUUUCUGGAAAGCUGCCUGCGGCGCUCUUACGUUUCUUCUCAUUUUGACUUGGUGACAACUUCCUUGCAGAAUGGGAGCCUCUAAUCUAGUUGAGUCCUGUAUGCCAGACAUAUAGCUGUUCUCUUGAAAUAGACCUUCUUGGGAAAUUCCACUCCUCUUAUUUAAUUUCUCUAACAGCCAGAGAGUUCUACCUGCUGUGGCCCUCGUGGACACUGUUGCUAUACUAACUCUUCCCUGAGCUUAUAUGGAAGUUCUCCAGCCCUUAACCUUUUCUGCUCCGAAUUAAAGAUACCAGUUUUCUUAUCUAACUUGAAGAGACAAGUCAGAACCAAGGUUCCCUUGAGUUACAGCAGAUCAUUUAGGAAUCACAUUUAGUUUGUGUUUUGCUGCUUUAAUGUAUUUUUCUAACAUGCAUAUUAAAAUUCAUUUCUUUCCGGACUUCCCUGGCUGUCCAGUGGUUAAGACUCCGUGCUUCCAAUGUAGGGGGCAAGGGUUCGAUCCCUGAUCAGGGAACUAAGAUCCCACAUGCUGCGCGGCAGGGCAAAAAAAAAAAAAAAAAAAAAUCAUUUCUUUCAUAAUGCAGUCUUCUUCCUGAAGUACCUAGCUGAACUUCCCAGUAUAGUUUUCCUAUUUUGUGACCUUUAUCCAUUUCUUUGCAUUUUAAUUCUGUCCCCCAAAGUGCAGCCUUUAACUAUCCCCACUCUUUUUCUGUCCAGCAUUUCAAGUGCAUUUCAAGAGCUGCUUGAAGGCCACAUAUUGGUGAGUGCAGAGCAUUUUCUAGAAUGAGUUCCAGUACUCUUAAAUAAAAUUUCAGCAAUGCUCUUUGGGAGCAAACAGCUCCUACCCUCAUAUCCUGUUCCACAUUAAUAUUUGCACAGUACCUGAAUUUUAUCACACUAGCCCUGGGAAACCCCGCCUCACAAAGAUAUGGUGUCAUCGAAAGGAAUGUGGUGUGAGCUAACGUGGGGACUGAACAGGUGUCUUUUAGGUGUCUUAUUUCAGGUGUCUUAUUAUAGGUAGAUUUAUGCUUGUUCCUUUUAAGGACUUCAUUAAAUAAAACAAAGAACAAAAUGUGAUCCUCACUUAUAGGAUUAGCAGUUUCCUGUGAGUAAGUCUCUUCAUUGAACUGUCACAGUUCAUGGUCAAAGUGUAAUAUUAGGAAAGUCUUAUGGGUGAGGGAAAUAGUAACACCAAGUAAAGAUGAAAGUCUUGAGGGUGUUAGGAACUACACAAAUUGAUCACAUGAAAUAUACAAAUAUUGCAGACAUGUAUUGAUCAUUUCUUGAGGUCCACAAUCCUUUUAAGAAUCUGAUGAAACCUUUUCAUACUCUUUCCAGAGAAAGGCUCAAACACAUGCUUCCAUCCAUACCCUCAUCCUUAUUUCACAUGUGAUUCUAGGAGGUGCAUUUUCCCCCUGCAGCUCCUUCAUGGACUCGCAGUUAAGCACACUCGAUACCUGUACUGUGUAAUGCAAUACUCAUGUAGCUAUUUAAGUUUAAGCAAAUUGAAAUGAAAUAAAAUUAACAAUUCACUUCUUCAGCUGGACCAGCCACAUUUCAAGUGCUCAGUAGCCACAUGUGGUUAGUGUACUGUACUGGGCAUAAGAACAUUUCCGUCAUCACAGAAAGUUCUGUUGGAUCACGCUGCUCUAUACUUUCAGGAUGAUUUAAGAAAAUUGAAUUCCUUAAGCAAAUCUGUUUUUUCUCCUCUCUUCUCCCUUCCCACUCUCUCCACCACUGUUAAUGGUUAGUAUACCUAACUACAGAGGUGCCUUGUUUUAAGCAAAAUUGAAAGUAUAUAUUUCUUUAAAGUUUAAUUAGAUAGCUCAUCUUCAUAAAAGAGUACUUACUGAAACGAGUUCUUUUAGUAGAGUGAGCUUCUCUGACAUCGUGGUAGCGUGGUCUGAUUUACACAGCGUUCUCCUUGUCUAGCCGUCUCUGAGGUAAUGCUCAGUGGUCACCUAGAUAAUUUAUUUCAUCUGACAAGUUGUGCCUCCAGUUUGGUCUGUUCUUCUGGUAUUUUGCUUAAUUCUUCUGUUUUGCUUGACUUCUUGCUGUAAGAGAUCACGCCCAUUAUUACACUUAAUGACUUCCUUGACUUGCCUCUCGUUCAUCUGUUUCAGCAAAGACGACUAGGAAGACUGGAAAUAAAGAGUGGAGCUAAUAGGCUGUUAAGCGAGACACACCUGUAUUAAGAUAUAAGGAAACAAAUACACCUCAGGCGAAAAUAGAAAUAAUGUAGGGAUUAUCCAUGCUUUUGUUGCCUUGGUUAGUUUCUUCAAGCCUCGGUUUCUCAAGCUAUGAAAUGAAGUGGCAUGCCUCUCACUAGGGCAUUCAGAGUGAGUGCAAAAGGAAUGUGUGAUUUUGGAAAAAAAAAAUUGUUCCUAAAUUUAAACCAGGAGUGAUAAAUUCAGUUUAAGUUUUUGGAAGUGAGAGUUAGUCACGGGGUUUCAGAUUUGAAAAUCUGAAAUUUUGAGGAAGCAGUUUAUAAACCCAGUGUACUCUCCCUUUGGUAACUUGUUAGAGGAAUGUCGUUUUUCAGCGUUUCCUGUUGCAUUCAGUACUUAUUUUAAAGUGGUUUCCUCAUGUGACUUUCAAGUAAGAAUCAAGUUUUUUGUCCUCUCCCACACAUUUUUUUUUCCCCCACACAUUUUAAUAGACCUCAAAAAUAGAAUGGGGGAAGGAACUAAUUGAGUAGAGAAAGAAAGAACUGUAAGUACGGUAAGUACAAAUAGAAAAAUAAGAAUAGAAUAACAAGAAUGAAGGAGGAAGUAGUUCACUCUUUGUUCUCAGUUUAGCAUUCAUUUGGUACCUCAUCGAAUGGAAAGCUUUGUACUAGAUGCUGCAGAACCAAAAAAGGACAAAUGAAUGGAUGGCGUUAGGUGUUGUGUGUCCCUCCCAGGGAAUUGACGCUGUAAUUAGGAAACACACAUACACAACUGACAGAUGGUUAAAGCAUAAGUGAAGGAGAGCUGUAAUAGAGGUGGGAUGGUUAUGAGAAUGAGGAGAAAG